rnacentral:rRNA from 1 species
UACGUAGGCAGCAAGCGUUGUUCGGAGUUACUGGGCGUAAAGGGUGUGUAGGCGGUUUUUUAAGUUUGGUGUGAAAUCUCCCGGCUCAACUGGGAGGGUGCGCCGAAUACUGAAAGACUAGAGUGCGGGAGAGGAAAGUGGAAUUCCUGGUGUAGCGGUGAAAUGCGUAGAUAUCAGGAGGAACACCGGUGGUGUAGACGGCUUUCUGGACCAAUACUGACACUGAGGAGCGAAAGCCAGGGGAGCAAACGGG